ACAACACACAAAUUCUGGCUUCUUGGCUUCUUCACAUAAAUUGAAGAAUUAUAUUUAAUCAUAUUUGCUUUUGUAUUCAAAAGUCAAACCCAGGUCCCCUUAGAAACAAACAAAAAUUUAUUAUUGCUAUAGAGAGCAAACAAGUAACAACUAAAAACCAAAAAUAUCACACUCGUCGAAAAAUUCGAAAUUCUAAAUUUAAAAAAUUGUUGUAAAAGUUUUAUUUUAUAUCCAUUCAAAUAGAAUGGAAACACCAAAAUUCACACGUCUAUUGCGAUAUUGAGCAGAGCACCACUGUGGACGACCACCACUUUCCUGUCCCUAACUUCUUUCCCGAGCGUAGUACCAUUCCCGGGAUGAAGCCAACACUUGGCUGUAGCUCCAAUUCAGAACUUUCUUCUUGUUUCUUCAGCAGUUCUAUCAUCA